rnacentral:tRNA from 1 species
AAAUAAAAAUGUCCAGGGAUGGGAAUCGAACCCACAGUGUUCCGCUUACCAGGCAGGUGCCAUGUCCACUAGUCUACUUUAUU